UGCUGUUGUUGAGCAGUAUGGACUGCCAUCAAGGGUUCGGUCUGAUAAAGGUGGAGAGAAUGCAGAUGUAGCUGAAUUCAUGAUCAGGAGCAGAGGUACCAACAGGAACUCUCAAAUCACAGGCAGAAGUGUCCACAAUCAGUGAAUAGAGAGGAUGUGGAGAGAUGUCUACGAGCAUGCCCUAGACCGUUUCUAUCAGAUCUUCACUUCACUGGAACAUCAGGGAACACUUAAUCCAGACAAAGAAAUCCAUUUUAAUGCUUAAUCUUAAUCUUAAUCCAUCUUAAUCCAUCUUCCUUCCACUCAUACAGAGCAACCUCGACUCUUUCAGAGAUGCAUGGAACAGUCAUGGUCUUAGAACUGAACGGAAUCAAUCACCACAGCAACUCUGGAUAAGAUACAGAGACCAAGGCCCCAUGGAGGAUCCUUCAGAGGUUUCUGAAGACUAUGGGAUCAACUGGAACGGGCCUCACACUCACCAUGGAGGCACUACAUCAGUACCUGACAUUCAGCUGGGCCGUGAGCUAUCAGAUGAAGAGCUUGCUACUUUGCCAGUUUCAGGAGUUUCUUUAACAGAUGCAAUUGGAUCAUACUUGGAGACAGUCCAAAUUCUGUCAAGAACCAUAGGAGACUAAUAUACAACCCAGGCUUUUUAUUUAGCAUGCUACGACAAACAGACAUGCACUUAAAAAAAUUGCUUUCCUCACAAAAGUUUUAAAGUCCCUUUCUUUCAAGUUUUUCCCAUCAUGACAUUUGUCACAUUGAACUUUUUGAUUAACAUAAAAUUAUAAUCUUUGGUUUGUUGUAAAUGAAAAAAAGAAAGACAUGAAAGCUGGGGAUGCAGAACUGAUAACUGUAUCUCCCAUUUUCUAUCAAAAUGUAAAACUGCUGUUUAUAAACGUGUCAAACAUUAAACAUGUGUUUCAUUCCCCUUAGCUUUCUGUAUGAACCAUGGCAAAUUCUCUGCCUGAAAACUCUUAAACAAGUCCAAAA